rnacentral:rRNA from 1 species
GAUGAACGCUGGCGGCGUGCUUAACACAUGCAAGUCGAACGGAAAGGCUCCUGCUUGCAGGGGUACUCGAGUGGCGAACGGGUGAGUAACACGUGGGUGAUCUGCCCUGCACUUCGGGAUAAGCCUGGGAAACUGGGUCUAAUACCGGAUAGGACGAUGGUUUGGAUGCCAUUGUGGAAAGUUUUUCGGUGUGGGAUGAGCUCGCGGCCUAUCAGCUUGUUGGUGGGGUAAUGGCCUACCAAGGCGUCGACGGGUAGCCGGCCUGAGAGGGUGUACGGCCACAUUGGGACUGAGAUACGGCCCAGACUCCUACGGGGGGCAGCAGUGGGGAAUAUUGCACAAUGGGCGCAAGCCUGAUGCAGCGACGCCGCGUGGGGGAUGACGGCCUUCGGGUUGUAAACUACUUUCGCUAGGGACGAAGCGCAAGUGACGGUACCUGGAGAAGAAGCACCGGCUAACUACGUG